GACUUGUGAUAAACCCCGGUUGACUCGGAAUUCCAACUCAGUAUUUGUUUUCUUAAAUUUAAGGAAAGGGAAAAAGAGGAAUGAGGCGAAAAUAAUAGGGCAACUACAAUAUCUAAACCAAUUGGGUCGAGAUUUUCACCUGCUUCAAUUCUUCACCACACCCACCGGAAACCUGCCGUCGCCGAUCGCCGCCAUUUCAAACUCGAGGUGUGAAGACAUUUUGGUAAGAAUAGCUUGCUUUCAUGGAUCCAGUGACUGAUGAGCAAUUAGAUUAUGGAGACGAAGAAUAUGCAGGAAAUCAAAAGAUGCAAUAUCAUCAAGGUGGAGCUAUACCUGCGCUUGCUGAAGAGGAAAUGAUUGGUGAGGAUGAUGAAUAUGAUGAUCUCUAUAACGAUGUUAAUGUUGGAGAGGGUUUCCUACAAAUGCAGCGUUCUGAGACACAAGUGCCUUCUGUGGUGGCAAGUAGUGGGUUUCAAAGUUCGAAAGCUAAUGUUCCUGGAGCUCGAGUGGAAGCAGUGGCCUCGCAAGAGGUGAACAAUGCAAGAGUUGCUAAUGAAGGAAAUUAUGCUGUAACUUCAGUUCAAUUUCCUGAGCAGAAGAGUAGCUUGCCAGCCUCUGGGGGUCCGACACAGACCAUGGAUGCCUCUCAAAGGGGAAGGCUCCCGGAAAUGGCCCAUAAUUCUCAAGCAGGGCAUUUGGGAUAUCAAGGAUCAGCGAGUAUGCCUCAUAAGACUGCUGCAGAUCGGAUGAACAAUUCAGAAAAAGUAAUUGGUGAGCCUGCACCAUUGAUGUAUUCUAACAUGGGUAACACAAAAGGUGUCCCACAGAUUCCACCUAAUCAGAUGAACUCGAAUGCAAAUGUUAAUGUAAACCGCUCGAUGGAUGAUGAAUACAUGGUUAGGCCAUCUGUAGAAAAUGGAAACACAAUGCUCUUUGUAGGAGAAUUACAUUGGUGGACAACAGAUUCUGAGAUUGAAAGUGUGCUGAUUCAGUAUGGGAAAGUCAAGGAGAUUAAGUUUUUUGAUGAAAGGGCUAGUGGUAAGUCCAAAGGUUAUUGUCAAGUUGAAUUUUAUGAUUCUGCUGCAGCCUCCGCUUGCAAGGAAGGUAUGAAUGGUUACAUUUUUAAUGGGAGAGCUUGUGUGGUGGCAUUUGCCACUCCACAGACCAUAAAACAAAUGGGUACUUCUUACACGAACAAGACUCAAGGCCAGGCUCAAUCUCAGCUACAAGGAAGGAAUCCUGUUAAUGAUGCAGCAGGUAGAGGUAAUGGUGCCAAUUAUCCAAGUGGAGACACAGGGAGAAAUUUUGGACGAGGUGGCUGGGCACGAGGGAACCAAGCACCAAACAGAGGUCCUGGAUCAGGACCUAUGAGAGGAAGAGGGGGUAUGGUGAACAAGAAUAUGAUGGGGAGCGCACCUGGUGCUGGUGGAGUUUCUGGUGGUGGAGCUUACGGACAAGGGAUGACUGGUCCUAGUUUCGGUGGGCCUCCUGGUAUGAUGCCUCCUCAGGGCAUGAUGGGUCCUGGUUUUGAUCUAGCAUUUAUGGGUCGCGGAACUGGUUAUGGAGGCUUCUCAGGUCCUGCUUUCCCAGGGAUGCUUCCUCCAUUUCAAGGUGUUAAUACCAUGGGGCUUCCUGGAGUGGCUCCUCAUGUCAACCCAGCUUUUUUUGGUCGAGGAAUGAAUCCCAAUGGAAUGAACAUGAUGGGGACUGCAGGGAUGGUUGGACCUCAUUCAGGAAUGUGGAAUGAUACAAACAUGGGUGGAUGGGGAGGGGAAGAACAUGGUAGAGAGUCUAGUUAUGGUGGAGAGGAUACUGCAUCGGAAUAUGGGUAUGCAGAGGCAAGUCAUGAAAAAGGUGUGAGGUCUAGUGCUGCUUCCCGGGAGAAGGAGAGAAAUUCUGACCGUGACUGGUCUAGUGUUCCAGAGAAGAGGCACCGGGAGGAGAGGGAACAUGAUGGGGAAAGAUAUGAUAGGGACUCUAGACGCAGAGAAGAGAAGGAUCGUUAUCGGGACUAUCGCCACAAAGAUCGUGAAUCGGGUUAUGAUGACGACUGGGAUAAAGGACAGUCUUCGAGAUCCCGCAGCAGAUCUGGUGCAGUGCCUGAAGAUGAUCACAGGUCUCGAUCUAGGGAUGCUGAUUAUGGGAAACGGAGACGCAUGCCAUCUGAAUGAUAUGCUGUCAUGGUAUCAUGGGACUUAUAAAUGUCUGAUAGCUUCCACUAUGAUUUGCAAUGUCAUAUUUGGAUCCUAUGAAGGAUUGCCAGCUCUUUCUUGUUUAUGUUGAUGUCACGUGCUGUGUGGCCUCCGGCUUCAAAGAAGAGCAGAGAACCAUUAAUUGCUGCACUCUUGGAUAUCCGUGAAUGCUUAAUACUAUGAGUGCAAAGAAGCCUUAAUCAUGUAUUCAAUUGCUUUGUAUUCCUGAAGCAUAUACCAAAUAUUGAGUCGUGAUCCAGGAAGAAUUUGUGUGAAAAGUAACUUAUCAAUUCUUGAAGAAUAUUUUUGAGCAAAACCCUGGAUGAUGCACCAUAGUAUAUUAGUAUAUUCCAUGUAGUAGGUUCCUCACAUGUAAUAAUUUGAUCCAUUAUGUGCACCUCCUCUUUAACCUUGUAAAAGUGAUGUACAAUUUUUUGGACCAUGUCUUCUGGUCAUGUAUGAUGAGAUUAUUGUUUGAGUUGCAGAACUUGUAAGCUGCAUCGUAGAAUAGAUACAUAUGUGUUGAAUCUUGAAAAUGCCACUGUAGCAGAAGAGUUGUCUCUGUAGAUGCAGUGUAUCUCCUGUAAGCUUAAAUUGUUACAUGAUACUGUCUGUCUUCAUAUUAAGCAGACAUGAUAGUUCUUUUUUUCAUGCUGUAUCAUAGGUGAUGCUCCAUUUUGUAACUAGUUAAUUCUGUUGGGAGUCAAUAAUCAACUCGUGUUACAUUUUUUUUUGAGUUCCUAUUGGCUCAAAUUUUUUGUCAAGUAGACAUUGUAAUGAGUUUUGUAUAUAGCAGCUUGCAGCUUAUGCAAUA